rnacentral:rRNA from 1 species
UACGUAGGUGGCGAGCGUUGUCCGGAAUUACUGGGUGUAAAGGGCGUGUAGGCGGUUAGACAAGUCAGAUGUGAAAUACCCGGGCUUAACUUGGGGGCUGCAUUUGAAACUGUUCAACUUGAGUGCAGGAGAGGAAAGCGGAAUUCCUAGUGUAGCGGUGAAAUGCGUAGAUAUUAGGAGGAACACCAGUGGCGAAGGCGGCUUUCUGGACUGUAACUGACGCUGAGGCGCGAAAGCGUGGGGAGCAAAC